GACGAACGCUGGCGGCGUGCUUAACACAUGCAAGUCGAGCGGUAAGGCCCUUCGGGGUACACGAGCGGCGAACGGGUGAGUAACACGUGGGUGAUCUGCCUCGCACUUCGGGAUAAGCCUGGGAAACUGGGUCUAAUACCGGAUAUGACCAGUUGCUGCAUGGUUUCUGGUGGAAAGAUUUAUCGGUGCGAGAUGGGCCCGCGGCCUAUCAGCUUGUUGGUGGGGUAAUGGCCUACCAAGGCGACGACGGGUAGCCGGCCUGAGAGGGCGACCGGCCACACUGGGACUGAGACACGGCCCAGACUCCUACGGGAGGCAGCAGUGGGGAAUAUUGCACAAUGGGCGAAAGCCUGAUGCAGCGACGCCGCGUGAGGGAUGACGGCCUUCGGGUUGUAAACCUCUUUCGACAGGGACGAAGCGCAAGUGACGGUACCUGUAGAAGAAGCACCGGCCAACUACGUG
rnacentral:rRNA from 2 species